ACCGUUCUUCGGUCAAGGGUAUACGAGUAGCUGCGCUCCCCUGCUAGAACCUCCAAACAAGCUCUCAAAUUUGUAGUACAUAGCUAAGAUAGGG
rnacentral:sRNA from 1 species